UCCCUUCUAUGCCGAAGAGCCUGGAAGUGAAUUUUGGGGCGCCAGUUGUUAGGAAAAUAGGUGGUCUGCUUCAUGGAGUUACACGGGUUUUUUUUCCAGGUGACUUGGGGAUGGGCUGUGGUACUCUUCUCCAAAAGUUUAUUUGUGCUGAUGGGUUCUUGUAACCCGAUCCGUGCCGUGUGUGUGUGUGUGUGUGUGUGUGUGUGUGUGUGUAAGUUGAUGGGGGCAGUAGGGAGUUGGGGGCGAGGGGCGGCGACCAGAGAACCAUCUCCCACUCAGGCGCCUGCUCCGCCCCCUGCGCGAGGUGUGAGGAGGGGUUUCCUCCCAAGACAGUUUUGUUAAAGUCGUAGAAGUUUUUAUAGAGUGUUUCUAUUUGACAUCAUCAGCCUGCCAGGCUGGGGCAGGAAUUGCUGAAGCUGCCGCUUCUGCACGAGGAGAGGGCCCGGGCAGAGCAACUGGAGGGACGAGGGAGGUCGGGCGGUGAGCUCGCGCCCUGUGCGGGCUGCAAUUGGCCGCUGGCGGUAGCGGAGCUGAGGUUAGUAGAGUCACGGCCACCAGCCUCCAUGAACUGAGGCGAAUUGAGCUGGUCGGAAAUUGUGGCAAGCUGGACUCUCUUACCCCUGGACACACACGUGGUUCUACAAUCAACCGGUCUUGAAAGUUUUGACAGAACCACCGAGGCCUGAAGAUUGUGGGUCCCACAGGUAUGGAUCUUUGGCAGUUGCUAUUGACCUUGGCACUGGCAGGUGCAAGCAAUGCUUUUGCUGGGAGAGAGGAUUCUUCUGGGAACCCUAAGAUCACCAGGUGCCGUUCACCUGAACUAGAGACAUUUUCAUGCUACUGGACAGAUGGGGGUCAUCAUGAUUUAAAGAUGCCAGGAUUCAUACAGCUGUUCUAUGUUAAAAGGUGCGUCCAUCAUAUUUUUCUGAUUUCUCUCUCUGUGAAUUAUCUCAUUAAAGUGUAUGAGCCACAGAUAGUGUAGGAAUGGAGGUGAUUUAUUUUGAAGACCUAAAUGCAUUCAUUCAUUUAAAAAAUAUUAAUUAAACUCUUACUAUGUGCUAGGUACUGUUUUAGGCACUAGAGAUAUAACAGUGAUUACAAAAAGAUAAAAAUUCUUGGUCUCAUGGAGAUUCCUUUCCAGUGUGGAGGAGAGAGACAAUAAAAAAUAAAUAAAGGAUCACCUGGUAACAUCAGGUUAUUAAAAUAAAGCCAGAAAAAAGAUAAAGAAUGUCAUCACCAUGUUUGAGCAUGUGCAUGAGUGUGUGUGUGUAUGUGUGUGUGUUUGUGUGUGUGUCAAAGGGGGAGUGAGAGUAUGUGGAUAUACAUGAGUGUGUGAAUGUGAGUGGCACUGUGUUUUGGGUGCUUGAGUGAUACUUGAGAUGGGGAGUCAUAAAAGGCCUCUCCAAUGUGGUGUGUUUAGAGCAGACAAAGAAAUGCAGGGAGAGAGACCACGUGAGUAUCUGAGGGAAAGACUGUGUAGGCAGAGAAAAUUGCAAGUACAAAUUGAGGCAGUCUCAGCAUGUUUGAGGAAAGUGGAAGGCCAGAAGGAGUGGCACAAGGCUGAAAAUGGGAGAAAGUGAUAUGGGAAGGAGUUAGAGAGUUACUUGGGGACAGACCUGUCAAGCCUUCCAGGCCAGGGAGGGCUUUAAAUUUUUAUUUGUGGUGGAAAGCCAUAGAUGUGCUUUGAAAACUGUAUGUUUUCAAAGAUUCAUCUUGGGUUUCUACAUAGAGAAUAGACUAUCUUCCUCUUAAAUUAGUUAUAUUCACUGAAGAACUGUAAUACUUUCUCAUUGUCACUAUGGUCCUAAAAAAUAACAGAGGAAGAGAAAGACAAAGAUCUUGAAAUGUAGUCACUACCCAAUCAGUUUAUUUUUAACCCUUUGCUUGGAAUUAUUUCCUUUUUGUUAUUCUUACAUUAUAUCCUUUCUUAAUUGACACAUAUGCACAUAUUUAUGGCAUAUGUAUGGCAUAUGUAUGAGAUUUCAAUACAUGCAUAUAGUGUGUAAUGAUCAGAUUUGGGUAAUGGACAUAUCUGUCACCUCAAACAUUUAUCAUCAUUUAUCAUUUCUCUAUGUUGGGAACAUUCAGAAUCCUCUCCACUAGCAGUUUUGAAAUAUUCAGUUAAUUGUCGUCACCAUAGUCACCCUACUGUAUUAUAGAACAACACUAUACAUUUUUACUUUUUAAAAUUUCAGGCUUAAACACUUCAACAUCUCUUCUUUACCACGAGAGAAGGCCUAAACCAAGACACAAAGUUAGUGAGGAUCUUUAAGUUUAGAAUCAUAUUUAUCCAUUGGGUACCCACUGAGGACCUGGGAAAAGAAAGGAAGAUGCAGCCAGCAUUUAGGAACCUGAGCUCAGAAUCACAAACUCUGCAUUUCAGCCUUGCUCCAGCACUUGCUCGCCAAAAAAUUCUGAACAAAUUGGUCAAGCUGUGUACAGCUCAGCCUCCUCACCUGCAAAAUGGAGAUAACAGACUUGCCUCAUGGCUUUUUGUGAGGAUUUUGUUAGAUAAUACUCAAAAAACAUUUGGCACAGACCUUCACACAUAAUUAUUCAAUAAAUGGUAGCUGCUUUUCAUAUUGUUGGUAGUCUAAUAAUAAUAAUUUAAAAUAACAAUGAUGUAGGAGCCCAAUUCUGGACUAUACAAAUGACUUCUUAAUUCUUUACUGUUGGUGUCAUUAGUAUAAGUGACACCCUUUUUAGUACAAAGCUAGAUUCUUAAUUUGCAACUAACAAAUACUUUGAGUUAGCAACCAUGAGUGGCCUUACUCACCUGCUAGGUAUGAGAGGGGCUCUUGGAAACAUCAGAAAGGGUACACAAAGAUGAGCUGGUUGAGUAACAAAUAUGCCCUUUAUUUGCCUUAUGGUUGACAUUGCAGAGAAGUAUGGGCCAGUAAAUAAAGCUGGUUUCUAUAAGUAUAGUCAAUCAUGAAGCUAAGGUGUUUGGUAACACUUUUCAGCAUAUAUGAAUUGAUUGUGCUAUUCAUAAAUGAAGAGAAACAGUAGGUGGAGUUUUGUGCUUUUCUUCAACAAAUCAGAGCUAGCUCAAUCAAAAUUAAUAAAAUAAUUUAUUCAUUCAGACUCAUACAGCAAAGACAAUGCAGAUCAUCUUCUGACUCUUAUCAUUGUUUCUUAGAGUUCAGUUCCCAGACACUGCAGAAAAUAUAGAAUCAUUUUUAUUGUCCCUGACACACACCUAACAGUGUGACAUGAUUUUAUCCAACACUGGAGUCACUGAAGGCAGAGAGGAACAGGGAAGGCCUGGCCUUGUUAUCCAAAGCACAAGGGGAUCUAGACAUAUUGGGCUGUCAAUAGGAGAUCAAAUGCACAGGUACAUAGGCACUUUUGUGCUUUGCUUGGUCCUGUUCAUCUUGCCAGGUGAGCUGGAGAAGAGGCAGCCACAGUAUAUUAGGACAGCUGAUUCAGAAUAGUCUCUGCCACCCAGUGAUGGAAGUGGUGCCAAAUUCAGCCUCUAAGCUUGAAGUUGACCCAGCAUGAAUGCAAAUGACAGGCAUAGCAAAAGCAGGCUGUGGAAGCAUGGCAGAGCUCCUUUGCCCUCAGCUCCUCCAUUGGAUAUGGCAUUAUUUUCAAAGGAACUGGGUAUGUGAACCCUUGGUUCAUUAAGGGUGCAUCCUCCUACCUUUGACAUCCUCCACAAUAGUCUCCUCCAAAAAUUACCCUGCCUAGAGCAACCCCCAAUGCCGAGGAGGAGCCUUCACUAAGGUACCAUGAGAAAUCAAUCCAGCAGCUGCUAAAUGAUCCAAAGAAGAAUAACAGAAGACUGAUUAGAGUCAAUGAAGAAACAGGAGAGAGUGCAGAUGACAUAAAAAAAUUGUUCACAGAAGUGAUGGCAGAAAACUUCCCAACCAGGGGAAAAGAACUGGACAUACAGAUAAGUGAGGCAUAUAGGACUCCAACUAGACUUGAUCAAAAAAAAAAUUUUUUUCACAUACACAUAUAAUAGUUAAGAUUCCAGAAACCCAACAGAAGAACACAAUUCUACAAGCAGAGAAAAGAAAUAAAUCACAUACAAAGGAAAGCCCAUCAGAAUCACAGCAGACUUUCUCAAUGCAAACCCUUAAGGCAAGAAGAGCUUGGAG
rnacentral:lncRNA from 1 species